CUUUUUAAAUGAUGAUUUCAUAGUUCAAUUGAGCAUUACCAUGAAAAAUACUUGUAGCACAGGUCUUUCGCUCCUAUCUGAUUUUAAACUC